rnacentral:rRNA from 1 species
UGUUGUUGCAGUUAAAAAGCUCGUAGUCGGAUUUCAGCUUUGCUCAUCUUUUCCACUUUGGAUCUGCUGGGGAGGGCUUCUUUGACGGAAGUAUUCCUGACAUUCAUUUGUUGGGUUUUUCAACCGUCUCUUUUACUUUGAGAAAAUUAGAGUGUUCAAAGCAGGCAUUGCCUGAAUAUUACUCUUGGAAUAAUAAUAGAUGACUCUGGUGCUAGUUUGUUGGUGCACUGGUGCCGGAGUAAUGAUUAAUAGCGACGGUUGGGGUCAUUCGUACUGCAAAGCGAGAGGUGAAAUUCUUGGACCUUUGUAUGACGAACAACUGCGAAAGCAUUUGACUAGGACGUUCGCGUUGAUCAAGAACGAAAGUUGGGGGAUCGAAGACGAUCAGAUACCGUCGUAGUCUCAACCAUAAACUACGCCAGCUAGGGAUGAGCGAUUGUCUUCAACUGACAUCGUUUGCACCUUAUGAGAAAUCAAAGCAUUUGGGUUCCGGGGGGAGUAUGGUCGCAAGGCUGAAACUUAAAGGAAUUGACGGGAGGGCACC